rnacentral:sRNA from 1 species
UGGUAUCCCGUUCGCGGUGGCGGCGGCACAUCCAUAGCUGCCGACGGCAGCAUCCCGUUCGCGGCUGCGGCGGCACAUCCGUAGCUACCGACGGCGGCAUCCCGUUCGCGGCGGCGGCGGCGCAUCCGUAGCUGCCGACGGCGGCAACCCGUUCGCGGCGGCGGCGGCGCAUCCUUGGUUCUCUGGGAAGAGCUAUCGGUUUGCCUUUCUCCCCUUCGCGGCGGCGCCUCAUCCAUUCCUCUCGACACCGCCUUUUUCCCCUUGUCCAAAUCGUCGCGGGACUUCGAUGCAUGCGUGCGUGCGUGUUCGGCCAUGGAUGAGUGAAGCUUACAAUUUCGGGAAAGUACAAGAAGAUGUUUGAGAUGGAUAUGAAGUACAAGCACACAAUUUGUUCUGGACGUUUGAUAAAUUUGUCAUGCUCUUGUCCGUUCCUGUAGUAUUGGAGGCAUUUUAUAAUGGAGUCAUUGGACUGUAAUCAAUCUUGGUGUGUUUUCCUGUAAUAUUACGUUUUCAAGCUGUGUUUUGGUAUUGGUUACUUCUGGAAUUGAAGAGAUGAGUUUAAUGACAUGGUUGCAGCUAGUUUUAUAUUUCUGUAUGUUUUAUGGUACAUGCAAUGCUUGGUGAUUUCUGGAAUUGAAGAUAUGAUGGAUGUAUUGCAAUUUGGAGUUGU